rnacentral:rRNA from 1 species
UACGUAGGUGGCAAGCGUUGUCCGGAUUUACUGGGCGUAAAGAGCGCGCAGGCGGUCGUUCAAGUCGCGUGUGAAAGCCCCCGGCUCAACUGGGGAGGGUCACGCGAUACUGAUCGACUCGAAGGCAGGAGAGGGUAGUGGAAUUCCCGGUGUAGUGGUGAAAUGCGUAGAUAUCGGGAGGAACACCAGUGGCGAAGGCGGCGAUCUGGGCAGAUACUGACGCUGAGGUGCGAAAGCGUGGGGAGCAAACAGG